CCUCGGCACCGGCACCGACACUAAGCAACCGGUCUAGCCUGGCUUGAUCUAGCCCAAUUCUGGCAGGUAGUGCUGCCCUAGUCCCACCUGCACAAGGAGCUCCCUUCCCAAAGGACAUGAAGCUAUUGGAGAACUCCAGCUUUGAGGCCAUCAACUCACAGUUGACAGUGGAGACUGGAGAUGCCCAUAUUAUUGGCAGGAUUGAAAGCUACUCAUGUAAGAUGGCGGGAGAUGAUAAACAUAUGUUCAAGCAGUUCUGCCAGGAGGGCCAGCCCCAUGUGUUGGAGGCACUGUCCCCACCCCAAACUUCAGGCCUCAGUCCCAGCAGACUGAGCAAGAGCCAGGGUGGUGAGGAUGAGAGUCCUCUAAGCGACAAGCGCAGCCGCAAGACCCUCUUCUAUCUGAUUGCCACCCUCAAUGAGUCCUUCCGGCCAGACUAUGACUUCAGCACAGCCAGAAGUCAUGAAUUCAGCCGAGAGCCAAGCCUCCGCUGGGUGGUAAAUGCAGUCAACUGCAGCCUGUUUUCAGCUGUUCGUGAAGACUUCAAGGCCCUGAAGCCACAGCUGUGGAAUGCAAUGGAUGAGAAGAUCUGCUUAGCCGAAUGUGACAUCUACAGCUAUAACCCAGAUCUAGACUCGGACCCCUUUGGGGAAGAUGGAAGCCUCUGGUCAUUCAACUAUUUCUUUUACAAUAAGCGACUUAAGCGAAUUGUCUUCUUUAGCUGCCGCUCCAUCAGUGGCUCCACCUACACACCCUCAGAGGCAGGCAAUGCACUGGACUUGGAACUGGGGGCAGAGGAGGCUGAUGAAGAGAGUGGAGGAGGAGGUGGUGAGGGCAGGGCGGAGGAGACCAGCACCAUGGAGGAAGACAGGGUUCCAGUGAUCUGUAUGUGAUGAGAAGCAGCAGAAUGCUCAGCUUCAUCCAGCUCCGACCAAUCCCUGGACCUGUCUCCCUGAGGAGCUCCAGAGCCUCCCCAGAUGCCGGCUAUGCCUUGGCACUGUCACCAUCCUGGCGCUGCCCAAGGCUAUACCUGUGCAUCCCUUUGGUUUCAGCCUGUGGAUGUCCACUCACCCCUGCAGGCUCCUGAUGCCCAUGCUGGGGCUGGAUUAAACAGCACGGAGUCUGAUAGAAAACGGGACUGCUCUGCACCAACAGUCUGUCACAGACAGGACAGCUGGACCACAGAGUUUAUUUUUGUAUUUCUUAUUGGGCCUGUACACUCCAGCUCUAAGGGCCAGUAGUUUGAAGCCCUAUAAGUGGUGCCCAGUGUUUAUGGGGUCUGGUCUUUGACCAGCCCCUGGUGCCCACUUUUGUCUCCCACUUUACCAGGUGGGCCACAUGCACUGAGUGUCACUUUGCUGCAGCUCAUUUGUUUCCAAUAAAAGUUUC